rnacentral:lncRNA from 1 species
CCCAGGAUGCGCAUGCGCGACAGAGCCCCUGGGGGGGGGGGGGCCGGGCGCGCGGAGGGGAGGAGCUGUUCCAUCCGGGUAUCCGGCAGCCAGAGGCUGUUUUGUUUUCCUGGCUGAAAACAGUGGGGUGACCGGACCCUGUUGUUGCCGGUAGAAUGUGGGCCUCCGUCCUCCCGGAAGCCGCAGACUCGGGCUGUGCCUCCGUGGACCCUUCCUGGCCACUUUCUCCUGACCCGUGUCCGCCAGGCUGCCGGACCCCGCCCCUCCCCGGGACGUCACGGGAUCUCUGUAAACGCAUUGUUGACUUAGAAAAGGGGGUCAGAAUGACGUCUGAGAUGUCUCUUCCGAGGACGAUGUGCUUGGCGUUGGGGAUCAACAACGGUGACUGUUUUAUUUCCAAGGGUUUAUGAAUAGGAUACAUUCCAAACAAACCUAUUGUUUUUAAUAAAGUAUGACAGUUAGCUUGAAAUAACUUUUCACUGAAUGAACUAACCACAUCUCUAAGGAGAGUUAGUCAUUAUGUGAGCUUCUUUGCAAGUCGAGUGGCAUUUUUACAAAAGCCAUUUCUUUGGAGGGAGUAUGUACAAACUCACUUUUCUCUUACUUCACCCCACAUCCCCAAACAUGCACAGAAGUGGAGGGAAUAAAAACUUUAUCAUGGAAUCUGCACCCACCCAUGUGAUCUGCCUGCUAGGCACUUUCCACGGUAUCAUCCACGUCUCUGAGGAAGCAUCAUGAUAGAAAUAGUUAAGUGAAGAAAUGUUUCUUUUCUAAGCGCUUUCACAAGUCAACCGGGAAGACACAGUGCCCAUCUGCCAGAAACUUUUGCUGAACGUUAUGAAGCUGUGUGAAUGGACAGAAAAAUAUAAUGAAUUUCAGAUUUGACAAGUGUAAAAAUGAUGUGUUAGGCGAAAUAAUGUGAAACUAUGCAUAUAAGAUGAUGGGGUCUUGGGGCUGG